rnacentral:lncRNA from 1 species
UGUAUGUCUGUAGUCCUGACUACUUGGGAGACUGAGGUGGGAGGAUUGAUUGAACCCUGGAGGUUGAGGCUGCAAUGAGCCAUUAUUGUACCUUGCACUCCAGCCUAGGUGACAGAAGGAGACCCUGUCUCAAAAAAAAAAAAAAAAAAAAAUUCAGUCUCUUCUUUUUGACCUCCUUAAUCACUUCAGAGAAAUUGAUGCAGCUUUUAUGACUUACCUACCCAUCCCCUAUUUAAACUUGCAGAAAGUUAGAGUGGAGGCAUAAAAAAAUAAGAAAAUAUUUUGGAGUAGCUAGGUACCUGGAAAAAAUCAAUGAGUUACUUAGUCUAAUUUUUAGGUGACCAGAGCCUAGAAUGGUAAUAGAAUAAUUUUCUGCAGAAAGGACAUUUAAAAAUAAUCUGUUUUUGAAUGCCAGACAGGAAUUAUUUUGUAGCAAUCAGUUUUCAACUGUUGUUUUCAAAGCUCCUUUACCAGGGGAAGCUGUCUGAUCAUCUCCCAUCUCUAGCCAGUUUCACCCUACAUCAUGAGCUGUCUUUGCCUUUCCGUACACCAUUACAUGUAACUCUUGCCCUAAGUUGUUCCAUGCAUGUAAACAACUUUUUCCUCCUGCUUUUCACACCUCAACUCAAUCUUCAAGUUUUGAUUUAUUUUCACUUGAUUCCUUUAUUUAGUCUCCCAUUGGGUUAUAAUCUCAUCAAGAGAAGAGAGUUAGUACUACUUACUAUUAGUUCAAAAAUAAUUCCUAUUCCCUUUAAGUUUUAGACUUUUCAGAGCACUUUCAUUUUUGUCAGAGCAUUAUAACAUUCAUGUGUUAGUUUUUAGAGAGCUCACUAUCCUCAUUUUCCAAUGAGGUCACUGAGGCAGAGGCAGCCACACUUCUCCAAGGUUACAUGUAAUCCAAAACUAAAUGCCUAGACUCUGGGCCCAUGAUUUUUUUUUUUUUUUUCUAAAUGAAAGUCUUCGCCCAUUGGCCAGGUGCAGUGGCUCAUGCCUGUAAUCCUAGUACUUUGGGAGGCUGAGGCAGGCAGAUCACUUGAGGUCAGGAGUUUGAGACCACCCUGGCCAACAUGGUGAAACCCCGUCUAAAAAUACAAAAAUUAGGCGGGUGUGGUGGCGCACUUGUAAUCCCAGCUACUCAGGAGGCUGAGGCAGGAGAAUCGCUUGAACCCAGGAAGCAGAGAUUGCAGUGAUCCGAGAUCGCGCCACUGCACUCCAGCCUGGGUGACAGAGCAAGGCUCCAUCUUAAAAAAAAAAAAAAAAAGCAAGUCUUUGUCCACAUAGUAUUCUAUAUCCUGAAGAUGAUAGGUAAUGUCUAGCUUUAAUGAACUCAGAAAGCAUUUGUAAAUGAUAUUGCAAUAUUUUAAAAGACUGUUGAUAUAGGACUGUAAAAAUAGGGGAAUAAGAAAGGAGGCCAGGUGCGGUGGCUCACGCCUGUAAUCCCAGCACUUUGGGAUGCUGAGGUGGACAGAUCACCUGAGGUCAGGAGUUCGAGACCAGCCUGGACAACAUGAUGAAACCCUGUCUCUACUAAAAAUAUAAAAAAAGUGGUGGGGUGUGGUGGCGCAUGCCUGUAGUCCCAGUUACUUGG